GAAUCCACCGGGGUGCAGCGAGGCUGUGGAAAGUCCCACCCAGAACGUGAGGUGAAGAAGGCUUGGGCUGCGCUGGUUCUGCUCUGUCCGGGUCGGAGAUGAACUGACCCGGGAGAGCAGCGGAGGGAUGUUUCUUUUGGCCAACAGUGGGGACUCACCUGCACGUUUUGCGAAGAGGCCCACAGUCCUUUGCGUGGCGCUCGGACUACAUUUCCCAACGGCCCCUGCACGCCCUGGGGGCUGUUCCAUGCGGUGUUGCGCCUGCGUAGCCGGCGGGCUGGCAGUGAGACUGACUGCGUCGGGGUUGAGACUGGGUGGAUGAGGCUCACCCCGGCGGGGAGAAGGGACGAGGAGGGGCGGACAGCGGAAGGUCCGGGAGUGUCCGCCAUAAAGUCGUUUGAGGUGACCGUUGCGUAAUUGUGAGUCUGUGAGAGAAGAUGUGAAGUAUGGCCUCGUCCCGGUCAUCUGGGCGUGCGGGUCCCGGGUUUUGAUCGCGCGUUUGUGUAGUUUUAACUUCUAGUCAUGGCGAAUGAUCGCAGGAGAGCACAGACUGGACCCUGCUACGAUCUCUCUUGGAGUGGAUCAGACUGAUGAUCACCAACAACCAACUCAUUCCCGGAUAAGGAAGAAGAGAGUGUCACCUACUUCAGUGUGGUUUCAACCCUACUUCUGCAUCUUAAAGACACUGUGUACAACGUUGGACACUGUGCAGGAUGAUGCCACUUCAUCUUGGAUGCUAAUCUGCCAUGUUGACUUCUGAUUAACCCCAGGCCCAGGAAUGCCUCAAGAUUUCUACUUUACUUACUGUUGCUUGUGUAAGCCAAGACAACCUUGAUGUUAUCAUAAACAUGUACUUACCUAAGUCCUGUCCUUUGGCAAAUUAUGGGCUAUGAGACACAGCAUUCUUGCCUUUCCCUGAGGGGUCAAUUUCAGCGAUCCUACACAUUCCUUCUGAAGCACUUAUGCUCUUUCUAUAUGGUAUGUAAGCUCUCGGUCUGGGGAGUAACAGUGCAGAGAUCUACCUGUCUUGUUGCCACAUGUUUCUAAACUUUCCAAUAAAUCACCUUCUACUGACAA
rnacentral:lncRNA from 1 species